rnacentral:rRNA from 1 species
CUACGGGCGGCUGCAGUGGGGAAUAUUGCACAAUGGAGGGAACUCUGAUGCAGCAACGCCGCGUGGAGGAUGACACAUUUCGGUGCGUAAACUCCUUUUAUAUAAGAAGAUAAUGACGGUAUUAUAUGAAUAAGCUCCGGCUAACUCCGUGCCAGCAGCCGCGGUAAUACGGGGGGAGCAAGCGUUACUCGGAAUCACUGGGCGUAAAGAGCAUGUAGGCUGGUAAAAAAGUUGGAAGUGAAAUCCUAUGGCUUAACCAUAGAACUGCUUCCAAAACUCUUUACCUAGAAUAUGGGAGAGGUAGAUGGAAUUUCUGGUGUAGGGGUAAAAUCCGUAGAGAUCAGAAGGAAUACCGAUUGCGAAGGCGAUCUACUGGAACAUUAUUGACGCUGAGAUGCGAAAGCGUGGGGAGCAAACAGGAUUAGAUACCCCCGUAGUC